rnacentral:rRNA from 1 species
AGAGUUUGAUCAUGGCUCAGAGCGAACGCUGGCGGCAGGCCUAAUACAUGCAAGUCGAGCGCACCUUCGGGUGAGCGGCGGACGGGUGAGUAACGCGUGGGAAUGUGCCCUUUGGUACGGAACAACUGAGGGAAACUUCAGCUAAUACCGUAUGUGCCCUUCGGGGGAAAGAUUUAUCGCCAUUGGAGCAGCCCGCGUUGGAUUAGGUAGUUGGUAGGGUAAAGGCCUACCAAGCCUACGAUCCAUAGCUGGUCUGAGAGGAUGAUCAGCCACACUGGGACUGAGACACGGCCCAGACUCCUACGGGAGGCAGCAGUAGGGAAUCUUGCGCAAUGGGCGAAAGCCUGACGCAGCCAUGCCGCGUGAAUGAUGAAGGUCUUAGGAUUGUAAAAUUCUUUCACCGGGGAAGAUAAUGACGGUACCCGGAGAAGAAGCCCCGGCUAACUUCGUGCCAGCAGCCGCGGUAAUACGAAGGGGGCUAGCGUUGCUCGGAAUUACUGGGCGUAAAGGGCGCGUAGGCGGAUAUUUAAGUUAGAGGUGAAAGCCCAGGGCUCAACCCUGGAAUAGCCUUUAAUACUGGAUAUCUUGAGUUCGGGAGAGGUGAGUGGAACUCCGAGUGUAGAGGUGAAAUUCGUAGAUAUUCGGAAGAACACCAGUGGCGAAGGCGACUCACUGGCCCGAUACUGACGCUGAGGCGCGAAAGCGUGGGGAGCAAACAGGAUUAGAUACCCCCGUAGUCC